GAUUAAGUUAUUAAGGGCGCACGGUGGAUGCCUUGGCACUAGAAGCCGAUGAAGGACGUUACUAACGACGAUAUGCUUUGGGGAGCUGUAAGUAAGCUUUGAUCCAGAGAUUUCCGAAUGGGGAAACCCAGCAUGAGUUAUGUCAUGUUAUCGAUAUGUGAAUACAUAGCAUAUCAGAAGGCACACCCGGAGAACUGAAACAUCUUAGUACCCGGAGGAAGAGAAAGAAAAUUCGAUUCCCUUAGUAGCGGCGAGCGAAACGGGAAGAGCCCAAACCAACAAGCUUGCUUGUUGGGGUUGUAGGACACUCUAUACGGAGUUACAAAGGACGACAUUAGACGAAUCAUCUGGAAAGAUGAAUCAAAGAAGGUAAUAAUCCUGUAGUCGAAAAUGUUGUCUCUCUUGAGUGGAUCCUGAGUACGACGGAGCACGUGAAAUUCCGUCGGAAUCUGGGAGGACCAUCUCCUAAGGCUAAAUACUCUCUAGUGACCGAUAGUGAACCAGUACCGUGAGGGAAAGGUGAAAAGCACCCCGGAAGGGGAGUGAAAUAGAACCUGAAACCGUGUGCUUACAAGUAGUCAGAGCCCGUUAAUGGGUGAUGGCGUGCCUUUUGUAGAAUGAACCGGCGAGUUACGAUUUGAUGCAAGGUUAAGCAGUAAAUGUGGAGCCGUAGCGAAAGCGAGUCUGAAUAGGGCGUUUAGUAUUUGGUCGUAGACCCGAAACCAGGUGAUCUACCCUUGGUCAGGUUGAAGUUCAGGUAACACUGAAUGGAGGACCGAACCGACUUACGUUGAAAAGUGAGCGGAUGAACUGAGGGUAGCGGAGAAAUUCCAAUCGAACCUGGAGAUAGCUGGUUCUCUCCGAAAUAGCUUUAGGGCUAGCCUCAAGUGA
rnacentral:rRNA from 1 species